GGCAGAACGGGCGGAUAUGGUUUCCCGGCGCAUACCGAUGUUCCAGGGAGAAAAGGGAAUGUCGUGCGGGCGACCCAAGUCGGGGUCCAAAUCGACAGCCGCCCCCGCGACUGUAGGCGGAGCGCAGGCGUUGAUAUGCCACUGGCGGGAACGCUGGGAAGGUGACGCCAUGCCGAGAUCCGCAAGCCAGGAGACCUGCCAUAUGCGACUUUUCAUG
rnacentral:ncRNA from 2 species